UACGGAGGGUGCAAGCGUUAUCCGGAUUCACUGGGUUUAAAGGGUGCGUAGGCGGGUAUGUAAGUCAGUGGUGAAAUCCCCCGAGCUUAACUCGGGAACUGCCAUUGAUACUAUAUAUCUUGAAUAUUCUGGAGGUAUGCGGAAUAUGUCAUGUAGCGGUGAAAUGCUUAGAGAUGACAUAGAACACCUAUUGCGAAGGCAGCAUACUACGGAAAGAUUGACGCUGAGGCACGAAAGUGUGGGGAUCAAACAGG
rnacentral:rRNA from 1 species